AUUGAACGCUGGCGGCAGGCUUAACACAUGCAAGUCGAGCGGGGAAGGGUAGCUUGCUACCUAACCUAGCGGCGGACGGGUGAGUAAUGCUUAGGAAUCUGCCUAUUAGUGGGGGACAACAUUCCGAAAGGAAUGCUAAUACCGCAUACGCCCUACGGGGGAAAGCAGGGGAUCUUCGGACCUUGCGCUAAUAGAUGAGCCUAAGUCAGAUUAGCUAGUUGGCGGGGUAAAGGCCUACCAAGGCGACGAUCUGUAGCGGGUCUGAGAGGAUGAUCCGCCACACUGGGACUGAGACACGGCCCAGACUCCUACGGGAGGCAGCAGUGGGGAAUAUUGGACAAUGGGCGAAAGCCUGAUCCAGCCAUGCCGCGUGUGUGAAGAAGGCCUUUUGGUUGUAAAGCACUUUAAGCGAGGAGGAGGCUACUGGUAUUAAUACUACCGGAUAGUGGACGUUACUCGCAGAAUAAGCACCGGCUAACUCUGUGCCAGCCGCCGCGGUAAGAC
rnacentral:rRNA from 1 species